UUGAUGGUUCUAUGCAUAAGCAGGCAAACAGAUACUGGCAACAAAAAUACACUCAUUGAGAAAGUAGGCAUUGCCUGAGCCACACUUUUCAACAA